UCUGGUCGAGGGUCGUUGUUUCUUUUGACGAACUCUCUCAGGUGUCCGCUCCUUAUCAUUAUUUCAAUAGCAUCCUUCAGCUGGAUGCAGUCGUCGGUCCUGUGACCAUAACUCUUGUGGUAUCUGCAAUACCUAUUCUUGUCUUGGCCAGGCUUCAGAGGGGUUGGCUUUGGUUGCUUCACACCUGCUCUGUUAAACUCGGAGAUGUGAACUUCAG
rnacentral:lncRNA from 1 species